rnacentral:rRNA from 1 species
UGGGGAAUUUUGGACAAUUGGGCGAAAGCCUGAUCCAGCAAUGCCGCGUGUGUGAAGAAGGCCUUCGGGUUGUAAAGCACUUUUGUCCGGAAAGAAAUCCUUGGCUCUAAUACAGUCGGGGGAUGACGGUACCGGAAGAAUAAGCACCGGCUAACUACGUGCCAGCAGCCGCGGUAAUACGUAGGGUGCAAGCGUUAAUCGGAAUUACUGGGCGUAAAGCGUGCGCAGGCGGUUUGCUAAGACCGAUGUGAAAUCCCCGGGCUCAACCUGGGAACUGCAUUGGUGACUGGCAGGCUAGAGUAUGGCAGAGGGGGGUAGAAUUCCACGUGUAGCAGUGAAAUGCGUAGAGAUGUGGAGGAAUACCGAUGGCGAAGGCAGCCCCCUGGGCCAAUACUGACGCUCAUGCACGAAAGCGUGGGGAGCAAAACAGGAUUAGAUACCCCUGGUAGUCCACGCCCUAAACGAUGUCAACUAGUUGUUGGGGAUUCAUUUCCUUAGUAACGUAGCUAACGCGUGAAGUUGACCGCCUGGGGAGUACGGUCGCAAGAUUAAAACUCAAAUGAAUUGACGGGGUCAUAGCUGUUU